rnacentral:rRNA from 1 species
GAUGAACGCUAGCGGCAGGCCUAACACAUGCAAGUCGAGGGGUAGAACACUUCGGUGUUUGAGACCGGCGCACGGGUGCGUAACGCGUAUGCAAUCUACCUUGUACAGGGGAAUAGCCCAGAGAAAUUUGGAUUAAUGCCCCAUAGUAUAUAACCUUCGCAUGUUGGUUAUAUUAAAGUUCCAACGGUACAAGAUGAGCAUGCGUCCCAUUAGUUAGUUGGUAAGGUAACGGCUUACCAAGACGAUGAUGGGUAGGGGUCCUGAGAGGGGGCUCCCCCACAGUGGUACUGAGACACGAACCAGACUCAUGCGGGAGGCAGCAGUGAGGAAUAUUGGUCAAUGGGCGAAAGCCUGAACCAGCCAUGCCGCGUGCAGGAAGACGGUCCUAUGGAUUGUAAACUGCUUUUAUACAGGAAGAAACAACUCUACGUGUAGAGUCUUGACGGUACUGUAGGAAUAAGGAUCGGCUAACUCCGUGCCAGCAGCCGCCGUAACAC